rnacentral:rRNA from 1 species
AGUGAACGCUGGCGGUAGGCCUAACACAUGCAAGUCGAACGGCAGCACAGUAAGAGCUUGCUCUUACGGGUGGCGAGUGGCGGACGGGUGAGGAAUACAUCGGAAUCUACUUUUUCGUGGGGGAUGACGUAGGGAAACUUACGCUAAUACCGCAUACGACCUACGGGUGAAAGCAGGGGAUCUUCGGACCUUGCGCGAUUGAAUGAGCGGAUGUCGGAUUAGCUAGUUGGCGGGGUAAAGGCCCACCAAGGCGACGAUCCGUAGCUGGUCUGAGAGGAUGAUCAGCCACACUGGAACUGAGACACGGUCCAGACUCCUACGGGAGGCAGCAGUGGGGAAUAUUGGACAAUGGGCGCAAGCCUGAUCCAGCCAUACCGCGUGGGUGAAGAAGGCCUUCGGGUUGUAAAGCCCUUUUGUUGGGAAAGAAAAGCAGCAGGUUAAUACCCCGCUGUUCUGACGGUACCCAAAGAAUAAGCACCGGCUAACUUCGUG